UACGGAGGGGGCUAGCGUUGUUCGGAAUUACUGGGCGUAAAGCGCGCGUAGGCGGACCUGCAAGUCGGGGGUGAAAGCCCGAGGCUCAACCUCGGAACUGCCUUCGAUACUGCGGGUCUCGAGUCCGGGAGAGGUGAGUGGAAUUCCUAGUGUAGCGGUGAAAUGCGUAGAUAUCGGAAGGAACACCAGUGGCGAAAGCGGCUUCCUGGUCCAGCACCGACGUUCAGGCACGAAAGCGUGGGGAGCAAACAGG
rnacentral:rRNA from 1 species